ACUCUACCAACAUUGUAAUAACUUGCAAAAACAAUGAUUUCGACCACUGUUACAGUUGCAAUAUUUUUAAUAAAGGUGACACUUUUAAAAUAAUCGUCUUGGAGUGAAGGAUAUGCGAUCCAGUGACGUCUCUGUCUCAAGGACCGCCAUGCGACAUGGCGUGCCACACGCUACUUCCAAGUGAUAAUGGAUACCGAAUACCACUUGUAUUAUGAUGUAUUCUGAUUUCGUUUUAUGUUUUAAGGACAAUAAACUAUUUAUGUGUGAAUAUUCACUAUGAUGUGGCCGUGUAAUAUCUGUUUCAUUACGGUAUUAAAUAAGUUGUAAUAAUCUCUUACGAUUUCAUUGUUUU